GAUGAACGCUAGCUACAGGCUUAACACAUGCAAGUCGAGGGGAAACGAUAUUGGAAGCUUGCUUCCGAUAGGCGUCGACCGGCGCACGGGUGAGUAACGCGUAUCCAACCUGCCCACCACUUGGGGAUAACCUUGCGAAAGUAAGACUAAUACCCAAUGAUAUCUCUAGAAGACAUCUGAAGGAGAUUAAAGAUUCAUCGGUGAUGGAUGGGGAUGCGUCUGAUUAGCUUGUUGGCGGGGUAACGGCCCACCAAGGCGACGAUCAGUAGGGGUUAUGCGAGGAAGGUCCCCCACAGUGGAACCGAGACACGGUCCAAACGCUUACGGGAGGCAGCAGUGAGGAAUAUUGGUCAAUGGGCGAGAGCCUGAACCAGCCAAGCAGCGUGCAGGAUGACGGACCUAUGGGUUGUAAACUGCUUUUAUAAGGGAAUAAAGUGAGUCUCGUGAGACUUUUUGCAUGUACCUUAUGAAUAAGGACCGGCUAAUUCCGUGCCAGCCGCCGCCGUAA
rnacentral:rRNA from 1 species